GUGCAAGUCUUUGGAAGUCAGAAGGCGUGGGAAUCCCCUGGAAGUGCAGUAUUCCUCACAACGUGAAGGAGUGGCUCAUUGCACUGUGCGAGUUUGGAGGAACUUAAAAUAAUCCCGUCUUCUGAUGACGACUUUCAUCCGGGCCGUGCUUUGUAAUUUUCACCGUUCCCUCUACUUCCCUGAAUCCAGCCACUGAAAGUCAGAGGCAUGAAAUGACCGUGUCUAACAGGCUGCACAGUUGGAGGAACAGGAAACGACCAAGGGGUACAAUUGCUAUCAAUCUGUCUUCCUUUUGUGUGGAGGCUUUCGUCAACAACGUCUGCUUCCGUCUCAUUAGCCACUGGUGAUUGCAAGCUAG